AUGAACGCUGGCGGCGUGGAUAAGGCAUGCAAGUCGAACGGUAUAGUCGCAAGACUAUAUAGUGGCGAACGAGUUAGUAACACCUUGGUAUCUGCCUUUAAGCCGGGCACAACCAGUCGAAAGAUUGGCUAAUUCCCGAUGGUCUCGCAAGAGUAAAGACGCAAGUCACUUAAAGAGGAGCCUAGGUCCUAUCAGCUUGUUGGCGGGGUAACGGCCCACCAAGGCUAUGACGGGUAGGAGGUGUGAGAGCACGACCUUCAACGACGAAACUGAGAUACGGUUCGUACACCUACGGGUGGCAGCAGUCGAGAAUAUUCGACAAUGGGCGAAAGCCUGAUCGAGCGACGCCGCGUGCAGGAAGAAGGGCUUCGGCCUGUAAACUGCUUUUGCGUGGGAAGAACUUUGACGGUACCACGAGAAUAAGGGGUUGCUAACCUCGU
rnacentral:rRNA from 1 species